GACGAACGCUGGCGGCGUGCUUAACACAUGCAAGUCGAACGGAAAGGCCCUGCUUUUGGGGGGUGCUCGAGUGGCGAACGGGUGAGUAACACGUGAGUAACCUGCCCUUGACUUUGGGAUAACUUCAGGAAACUGGGGCUAAUACCGGAUAGGAGCUCCUGCUGCAUGGGGGGGGUUGGAAAGUUUCGGCGGUUGGGGAUGGACUCGCGGCUUAUCAGCUUGUUGGUUGGGUAGUGGCUUGCCAAGGCUUUGACGGGUAGCCGGCCUGAGAGGGUGAGCGGCCACAUUGGGACUGAGUUACGGCCCAGACUCCUACGGGAGGCAGCGGUGGGGAAGAGUGCACAAGGGGCGGAAGCCUGAUGCAGCAACGCCGCGUGCGGGAGGACGGCCUUCGGGUUGUAAACCGCUUUCGCCUGUGACGAAGCGUGAGUGACGGUAAUGGGUAAAGAAGCACCGGCUAACUACGUG
rnacentral:rRNA from 1 species